rnacentral:rRNA from 1 species
UACUAGAGUAGCACUCGCAUAUCAAUAAGCGGAGGAAAAGAAACUAACAAGGAUUCCCCUAGUAACGGCGAGUGAAGCGGGAAGAGCUCAAAUUUGAAAUCUUAAAGGGUUUCCCUUUACGAAUUGUAGUUUAAAGAAGUGUUUUCUGUUGAGGUUUUGGUAAAAGUUCUUUGGAAUAGGACAUCAUAGAGGGUGAGAAUCCCGUAUUUGACCUUUACUUUCAACUUUGUGAUACACUUUCAAAGAGUCGGAUUGUUUGGGAAUGCAGUCCAAAAUGGGUGGUAAAUUUCAUCUAAAGCUAAAUAUUGGCGAGAGACCGAUAGCGAACAAGUACCGUGAGGGAAAGAUGAAAAGAACUUUGAAAAGAGAGUUAAACAGUACGUGAAAUUGUCAAAAGGGAAGCGUUUGACACCAGUGUUGCUUUUCUGAAAAUCAAUUAAAGAACUGUUUAUGCUAAGUUGUUUAGACUUUAUCAGCUAUCUGUUUAGUUUUGAGCUUUUCUUUAAUGCACUUUUCAGUUAACAAGUCAACAUCAAUUUCUUUUGCUGUAAAAAAGCUUGAGGAAGGUGGCUUGAGAUUCGUCUUAAGUGUUUAUAGCCUCUUGCCUAUGCAGUCGGAGAGAUUGAGGUCUGCAGCGUAGAUCCUUCGGGGCUAAAUGCAUUUGUGCUAAGUUAUAGCAUUUUAUAGACAACUUGUUGACUAUGAUUUGUCUUGUAGCUUACUCGCUUAUGUUAUUUUACCUACGCUUAGGAUGUUGAACUACUGAGACAUAG